AUUGAACGCUGGCGGCAGGCCUAACACAUGCAAGUCGAGCGGAUGAAGGGAGCUUGCUCCUGGAUUCAGCGGCGGACGGGUGAGUAAUGCCUAGGAAUCUGCCUGGUAGUGGGGGAUAACGUCCGGAAACGGGUGCGAAUACCGCAUACGUCCUGAGGGAGCAAGUGGGGGAUGUUCGGACCUCACGCUAUCAGAUGAGCGUAGGUCGGAUUAGCUAGUUGGUGGGGUAAAGGCCUACCAAGGCGACGAUCCGUAACUGGUCUGAGCGGAUGAUAAGUCACACUGGAACUGAGACACGGUCCUGGCUCCUACGGGAGGCCGCAGUGGCGAAUGUUGGACAGAGGGCGGAAGCCUGAUCCAGCCAUGCCACGUGUGUGAAGGAAGUCUUCGGAUUGUAAAGCCCUUUAUGUUGGGGGAAACGGCUGUAAGUUGAUACCAAGCUGUUGUGACGUUACCAACUAAAUAAGCACCGGCUAACUUCGUG
rnacentral:rRNA from 1 species